rnacentral:lncRNA from 1 species
AAAAUCUGGCUCCAGUUGAGUCACAGCAACAGGUGGCUGUUCCUCUAAACAACAAGGGUUGCUAGCACAUGAAUGCUAGAGGUAUUCAAAUACCUCUUCAGAAAAACAGACUUCAACGCAGCAGCAUGUCUGCCGGAAAGGCAGCCCAGGCCUUCCUGACUGUAAUCAAGAGCUGAUGCCAAGGCAGGGAAGUUACACACAGCCAGAGGAAUUUCAAGGUCGGGAGAACAAACCUAUCCUGGGGAAGCCAGCAAAUUCCUUGCUGAUGGAGCCCUCUGAUUUAUCUGGAAGGCCGAACCAGAGAGGAAAUCACAGGCCUGCAUAGCAUAGCGUGAUAACCUUGGGUUAGUGCAAUAUAAACCUCAGGCGUUAUUUUCUGCAUUCCCGCCUGAAGGGACCUUGGUGUGUUAGUACUGCAAACAAAAGCCAAUGCUGUGUGACUGGUACCCAGAUGUCCUGGAGGCUGCUAGGCUUGGAGAAGACUUGUUUGAGGACCUAGGCAUCUGCAGCUCUACUCUGCUCUGCUCACACAGAGCUGAUACAUCUUAGCAAGCAACAGACAACCUGAGAGAGCAUGAAUCCCUUCUCUAUCUGGGGCAAAGCUUUUCCCUUCAAGAUGGCUUUAAGGCACAAUUUGGUUGAUUUUAAGCAGACACGUCAGAUGAUCAGACACUGAAGAGUCACACUAGAAAGCUGAUGAUUUUUCUUGGUACGCUGUCAUGCAGAUGUAGGUGGAGAGGUGGCUCAGAGGUUAAGAGCACUGGCUGCUCUUGUAGAGGACCCAGGUUCAGUUCCCAGCACCCACAUCAGGUGGCUCACAACCAUCUGUAACCGCAGCUCCAGGGAGCCAAAGUCUCUGACCUCUGAGGCUGUCAUACAGAGACACUUAUAUACCUAUAAAUAAAUAAACAUAAGUUUUUAGAAAGCAAUGUUGUUUGGGCAGUGUGUCUCCACAUUUUUAGUAUUUUUUUUUCAAGAUCCUGAAAGAGUUAGUAGUAUUAGUUCUGCAUCCUUCAAAAUAUGUCUUUCUAAAAACCUGUGAAAAUACAGCCUGAGGUUUUUGUGC